AUUGAACGCUGGCGGCAUGCCUUACACAUGCAAGUCGAACGGUAACAGGUCUUCGGAUGCUGACGAGUGGCGAACGGGUGAGUAAUACAUCGGAACGUGCCCGAGAGUGGGGGAUAACGAGGCGAAAGCUUUGCUAAUACCGCAUACGAUCUCAGGAUGAAAGCAGGGGACCGCAAGGCCUUGCGCUCACGGAGCGGCCGAGGGCAGAUUAGGUAGGUGGUGGGAUAAAAGCUGACCAAGCCGGCGAUCUGUGGCUGGUCUGAGAGGACGACCAGCCACACUGGGACUGAGACACGGCCCAGACUCCUCCGGGAGGCAGCAGUGGGGAAUUUUGGGCAAUGGGCGCAAGCCUGAUCCAGCCAUGCCGCGUGCAGGAUGAAGGCCUUCGGGUUGUAAACUGCUUUUGUACGGAACGAAAAGACUCUGGUUAAUACCUGGGGUCCAUGACGGUACCGUAAGAAUAAGCACCGGCUAACUACGUGCCAGCCGCCGCCGUAACAC
rnacentral:rRNA from 1 species